rnacentral:rRNA from 1 species
GACGAACGCUGGCGGCGUGCUUAACACAUGCAAGUCGAACGGAAAGGCCCUGCUUUUGUGGGGUGCUCGAGUGGCGAACGGGUGAGUAACACGUGAGUAACCUGCCCUUGACUUUGGGAUAACUUCAGGAAACUGGGGCUAAUACCGGAUAGGAGCUCCUGCUGCAUGGUGGGGGUUGGAAAGUUUCGGCGGUUGGGGAUGGACUCGCGGCUUAUCAGCUUGUUGGUGGGGUAGUGGCUUACCAAGGCUUUGACGGGUAGCCGGCCUGAGAGGGUGACCGGCCACAUUGGGACUGAGAGUCUGCCCAGACGCCUACGGGAGGCAGCAGUGGGGAAUAUUGCACAAUGGGCGGAAGCAUGAUGCAGCAACGCCGCGUGCGGGAUGACGGCCUGCGGGUUGUAAACCGCUUUCGCCUGUGACGAAGCGUGAGUGACGGUAAUGGGUAAAGAAGCACCGGCUAACUACGUG